UUCCCCAUCUGUGAAAUGGGUGCGUUUGACUUGGCCUUCAGUAGGGCUCCUGCCAGCUCGGGGAUCCGAAGUGUGUGGCUGCAGAUACCCAGCGAGCCAUCCCCUAGCCAAGGCUACCACAGUCUGCCGCGGGCAUUUUAUGUCCUACCCCACCAGUGUGGCAGGCACCGAGCCUGGUCCCAGGAAGCCGCUCCCAGGCCACACGGGCAGGGCGCUCGGGAUGCUCGGCGUUGGCGAGUGCAGCGGGCGGUAGAGAGAAAGACAGAGAGAGAGGCGGAGCGGACACGAGGGACCGUGAGAAAACGGAGGAGGAUAAGCCCCGAGAACGGCGGAAAGAGAAGCCAAAAGCAGAAAAACAGAGGAAGGAGAAGGCGAGAAGGGAAGGCUAGCCACAGGACACAAAUCCAGGAGCCAUUCCUUCUGCCUGGGAGGAGGGAGUGAUGAAGACCAGAGGAAUCCCAGAGGAGAAGCCAUCUGAGAUCGGGAGGAGGAGAAAUGGAACAUCAGGCGGAGGAAACAGCCCAGACAAUCGCACUGGGACGUGAAAACCCUUGGGCUGCAUGCGGGGAGAAAACCAGAAUUGGGGAUGGUUAGGGUUUUGGAGGGAAACACAGGGACAUGUGACCAAAAAUAAUAAUAACUACUGUUACUUAUUGAGGACUUUCUAUGUACUAGAAUAAGAAAAUCAUGAUAGCUAAGACUGAUAAAACGCUAAGUGUCAAA